rnacentral:rRNA from 1 species
CCUACGGGUGGCUGCAGUGAGGAAUAUUGGUCAAUGGGCGCGAGCCUGAACCAGCCAAGUAGCGUGAAGGAUGACUGCCCUACGGGUUGUAAACUUCUUUUAUCAAGGAAUAAAGUGAGGCACGUGUGCCUUUUUUUAUGUACUUUAUGAAUAAGGAUCGGCUAACUCCGGUCCAGCAGCCGCGGUAAGUCGGAGGAUCCCGGGGUUAUCCGGAGUUAUUGGGGUUAAAGGGAGCGUAGAUGGGUUGUUAAGGCCGUUGUGAAAGUUUGCGGCGCAACCGUAAUAGUGCAAUUGAUACUGGCAGCCUUGAGUACAGGUGAGGUAGGCGGAAUGCGUGGUGUAGCGGUGAAAUGCUUAGAUAUCACGAAGAACUCCGAUUGCGAAGGCAGCUUACUAAACUGCCACUGACAUUGAUGCUCGAAAGUGUGGGUAUCAAACAGGAUUAGAUACCCUUGUAGUC